UACGUAGGGGGCGAGCGUUGUCCGGAAUCAUUGGGCGUAAAGAGCGUGUAGGCGGACUUAAAGGUCUGGUGUGAAAGCCCGGGGCUCAACCCCGGAGGGUCACUGGAAACCAUAAGUCUUGAAUCUGGAAGAGGAGAGUGGAAUUCCUGGUGUAGCGGUGGAAUGCGCAGAUAUCAGGAGGAACACCAAUGGCGAAGGCAGCUCGUUACACGAAUAUUGACUCUGAGGCACGAAAGCGUGGGGAUCAAACAGG
rnacentral:rRNA from 1 species